rnacentral:sRNA from 1 species
ACAACACAAAGGGCAGCGCCGUCACCACAGAGAAUGAUCUGGCUCAAAAUGUCAGCAGGGCCCAGGUUAUGAAGCCCUCACCCCUGGACCAAGGCGGAGCUGGCAGUGGCUGGCCUGCCACUUGGUACAGGCGAGGAUGUUCUUGCAGGAGGACUAUGGCGCAGCCCUGCGGGGCCUGUGCGAAGACGCCCUGGAAGGCCUGCUCUUCCUGCUGCUCUUCUCCCUGCUGUCCGCAGGAGCGCUGGCCACUGCCCUCUGCAGCCUGCCCCGAGCCUGGGCCCUCUUCCCACCCAGUGACGACUACGAUGACACAGACGAUGACGACCCUUUCAACCCUCAGGAAUCCAAGCGCUUUGUGCAGUGGCAGUCGUCUAUCUGAGCCCCUCCUCCCGGCUGGACUGGAGCCUGGCUCCCCUCUUCGGUGAGCUUCCAAGGGCCACCCCAGCUCCCACAGCCUGGCCUCUGCCCUCCCCUCCUGCCCUCUGAGCUGCUCCAGGCAUGGGCUGCGUGCUUCCUGCUGGGUGGAUCGCGCCGGGCAGGCCCUCCAGCCUGCAUCACUGCCCUGUCUCUCCCUCUCUCC